CAAUCUACUUUGAGAAGUGAAGAAUGGAAUCCUUGGGAAGAACAUGAAAAAAAUGAGCAAAAACACAGACUUCAGAUAUUAAAUAAGUCCACAAAAGAGAAAAAAGACUUCCAUGUACAAAUCUGGGGCAAAGCUGCCAUUGGUUUGUAUUUGGGAGCAUAUUUUUGAAGGUUUACUUGAGCCCACUGAUGUGAAUGCUCAGUGGAAAGAAGGAAAUUUAGUUGUUGGAAGAACACAUUACAGCUUCAUUACUGGUCCAGCUGUGGUCCCCGGGUACUUCUUUAUUGAUGAGAAUAAUGUGGUACUCGUUCUAAAUGGAAGAGAAAAAGCAAAGGUCUUUUUUGCCACCCAGUGGUUACUUUAUGCACAAAAUUUAGUGCAAACUCAAAAACUCCAGCAUCUUGCUGUUGUUUUGGUUGCAAAUGAACAUUGUAAUAAUGAAUGGAUAAACCAAUUUCUCAAAAGAAAUGAAGGCUCUGUGGAACUACUUUUCAUAAUAUAUGACAGCCCCUGGAUUAAUAACAUGGAUGUUUUUCAAUGGCCUUUAGGAGUAGCAACAUACAGGAAUUUUCCUGUGUGGAGGCAAAUUGGUCAAUGCUGCAUAUGAAAGGCCAUACUUGUGUAAUAUUGUAGGAACCAUUUAUGGAAAUUCAUCCAGACAAGCACUAAUGAACAUUUUGAAACAAGAUGGGAAUGAUAAGCUUUGUUGGGUUUCAGCAACAGAACAGUGGCAGCCUCAAGAAACAAAUGAAAGUCUUAAGAAUUAUCAAGAUGCUCUGCUUCAGAGUGAUCGCACAUUGUGCCCAGCUGGAGUAAACAGAGAGUGUUACAGAAUAUAUGAGGCUUGCUCCUAUGGCUCCGUUCCCAUGGUAGAAGACGUAAUGACAGCUGGCAGCUGUGGAAAUUCAUCUGUUUACCAUAAUGCUCCUGUGCAGUUACUCAAGCCCAUGAAUGCUCCCUUUAUCUUUAUUAAGAACUGGAAGGAACUCCCUAUUUUAGAAAAAGAGAAAAGUAUAAUUUUACAAGAAAAGAUUCAAAGAAGAAAAAGGUUACUUCACUGGUAUCAAUAUUUCAAAGCAGAGCUAAAAAUGAGAUUUAUUAAUAUUGUGGAAAGUUCACUUUUAAAGAAUAAUAAAGGUUAA